CAGGCUCCUCACAGCCCUCGUGAAUUCUUGCUUCCAGCCAGGGCAGAAGCAGCUUCAGCCUAGAAGGAAGUGAUUUUCACGUGAGAGGCUGAGUGUAACCUCCUGACACUAUGAAUAAAACACACCAAAGUUAUCUGGAGAGAUCCCCACAUCAGCCAAGAAUUAGAGCUGGUUCUCACCCAGUGGCAGCUUCUGCUUGUGUCAGUACCAGCUUUAGCUGUGUGACAUGCACUGAUGGAUGAGCAGCAGACUGGGAAUUGGUAAGAGACUUGUAGAAGUUUAAUACCUGUUUCUUUUCUCAACCUCUGCAACGAGUUCA